rnacentral:rRNA from 1 species
UACGUAGGGUGCGAGCGUUGUCCGGAAUUAUUGGGCGUAAAGAGCUCGUAGGCGGUCUGUCGCGUCGGUCGUGAAAACUUGGGGCUUAACCCUGAGCUUGCGGUCGAUACGGGCAUGACUGGAGUUCGGCAGGGGAGACUGGAAUUCCUGGUGUAGCGGUGAAAUGCGCAGAUAUCAGGAGGAACACCGGUGGCGAAGGCGGGUCUCUGGGCCGGUACCGACGCUGAGGAGCGAAAGCGUGGGGAGCGAACAGG